AGUGAACGCUGGCGGUAGGCCUAACACAUGCAAGUCGAGCGGCAGCACAGUAAGAGCUUGCUCUUACGGGUGGCGAGUGGCGGACGGGUCCGGGAUACAUCGGAAUCUACUUUUUCGUGGGGGAGAACGUAGGGAAACUUACGCCAAUACCGCAGACGACCUACGGGUGAAAGCAUGGGAUCUUCGGACCUUGCGCGAUUGAAUGAGCCGAUGUCGGAUUAGCUAGUUGGCGGGGUAAAGGCCCACCAAGGCGACGAUCCGUAGCUGGUCUGAGAGGAUGAUCAGCCACACUGGAACUGAGACACGGUCCAGACUCCUACGGGAGGCAGCAGUGGGGAAUAUUGGACAAUGGGCGCAAGCCUGAUCCAGCCAUACCGCGUGGGUGAAGAAGGCCUUCGGGUUGUAAAGCCCUUUUGUUGGGAAAGAAAAGCAGCAGGUUAAUACCCCGCUGUUCCGACGGUACCCAAAGAAUAAGCACCGGCUAACUUCGUG
rnacentral:rRNA from 1 species